rnacentral:rRNA from 1 species
CCUACGGGCGGCAGCAGUGGGGAAUAUUGCACAAUGGGGGAAACCCUGAUGCAGCGACGCCGCGUGAGUGAAGAAGUAAUUCGUUAUGUAAAGCUCUAUCAGCAGGGAAGAAAAUGACGGUACCUGAGUAAGUAGCCCCGGCUAACUCCGUGCCAGCAGCCGCGGUAAUACGUAGGGGGCAAGCGUUAUCCGGAUUUACUGGGUGGAAAGGGAGCGUAGACGGCAGUGCAAGUCUGGAGUGAAAGGCGGGUGGUCAACCCCCAGACUGCUCUGGAAACUGUACGGCUGGAGUGCAGGAGAGGUAAGUGGAAUUCCUAGUGAAGCGGUGGAAUGCGUAGAUAUUAGGAGGAACACCAGUGGCGAAGGCGGUUUACUGGACUGUAACUGACGUUGAGGAUCGAAAGCGUGGGGAGCAAACAGGAUUAGAUACCCCAGUAGUC